GAUAUUAUAUUUUAUUAUUAUUUAUUUUAAAUUAAUGAAUUAAUUAAUUUCUAUUUUGUUAUGAGACGCUGUUAUAAGUAGCAUCUCAUUAUCCAUGCUAUUUACACUAGCGGGCGAUUAUUUAUGUAUUAUUUAAAAUAGCGUCAUGUCUACAAACUAGCUAACUAAUUUAAAUUUCAUCUCUAUUAAUAAUUAAGUUAAAAUUCACUUCUUUUUUUACAUUAUUUUUUCUAUUGCACCCGUUUACAAAAAAACCCUAACUCGAGCGGUUUGUUCUUGCUGCUAAUUGGGUUCGCAAAGGAGUGAAUUGCGUAGCAAUCGUCGAAACUCAAAUGGGUUCUAUAGAUAUAACAAUUACUGAAUGGUAAGAUUGAGCAACUGAAUGCUGAGACAUCCACUGUCUCAUUCGAAGCAGCUAUUUUUCCCAAUCAAAACCACAUACGACUCCUUGGGAUCAAAACUGUUGGCCACCUAAUGGAAAUAACAUAAACUGACACAGAGAGGUAGAGGAUAGAAGAUUUGAUGAAGAGAGGGAAUAAAAAAAACUUGUGGAAGCUUAUUGGGAGCAUCUAUUACGUCAAGUUGGCGAGGCAUGGAUGGAAGAAAUAAAAUAUUUACCCAUCGAAGGAAAUGUAAAGAGGGAAAAAGAAAAAAAAUGAUUUUUUAAAAAUUUUUUGUUUGGACAUCAAAUAUGUAUAGCAAUGGAUAAUGGGUAGGGUAUCCACGAAAAUUAUUCUAUUAGAAUCUAAUUAAUAUUAUCAAAAUUCGAAGUUAUCUCAAAUUCAAUUAAAAUUUAUUUUUAACUACCCAAAAUCUGUUACUCAAAAAAUAUCAAAAUCCAUUUAAAUUUAUA
rnacentral:misc_RNA from 1 species